rnacentral:rRNA from 1 species
AACAAGGUUUCCGUAGGUGAACCUGCGGAAGGAUCAUUGUCGUUUGCUCGGAAAAACCCGACCCCGCGCCCGUUUCCUUACCCAUCCCCGUCGGGGAAGGGUUGCCUUCCCGGGCCACCGGCCGCGGUCCUCGCUCGGGCCGCGCGCCGGGAAUUUGGCGCGGAAUGCCCCAAGGAACCCGAGAUGCUGACGCGGCCGGCGGAGCGUGCUCCCGCCCGCCGUCGACCCAAAGCAAUAAUACUUGAUGACUCUUGGCAACGGAUAUCUUGGCUCUUGCAUCGAUGAAGAACGUAGCGAAAUGCGAUACGUGGUGUGAAUUGCAGAAUUCCGCGAACCAUCGAGUUUUUGAACGCAAGUUGCGCCCGAGGGAUCCGCCCGAGGGCCCCCCUGCCUGGGCGUUAGAAGCCCAUCCCCGCUCGGGGCUCCCUCAGCCCCGAUGCGGAUUGUGGCCCUCCGAGCCCAAGCGGCGCGGUGGGCCUAAGUGUGCGGCCGCCGGGAGGAGCAGGGAGCGGCGAGUGGUGGAACGCUGCGUGGGCUGCCCCGCGCCCCUUGGCCGGGGCAUGGCCUUGUCCGACCCUCGAACGAGAGCCGCGCCCGCGACGGCGCGGCGCCUUCGGAUCGAUACCCCAGGUCAGGUGGGGCUACCCGCCCUAGACAGAAACACCUCA